GACAAGCAUAUGACUACUGGCAGGAUCAACCAGGUAGCACGUCCUCUUUGACAUCCAGCGUCGGUAGUUGCCCUCCCGUCCACUUGCGUGGCAAGGCAGAGCCAACUACCGAGCUAGUUGUCGCAAUUGAGCGGGCCUAGCUCGUCCUACUUGUAUGAGGAUCGGCACAGUAUGUUGCGUAAUCCUACCACUAACUGUGGAGAGGUAGAGGCAACACAUGUUCCGGUUGUUCUCAAAUUCGGAGAGUCUAGCUCGUCCUACUUGUAUGAGGAUCGGCACAGUAUGUUGCGUAAUCCUACCACUAACUGUGGAGAGGUAGAGGCAACACAUGUUCCGGUUGUUCUCAAAUUCGGAGAGUCUAGAUCGUCCUACUUGUAUGAGGAUCGGCACAGUAUGUUGCGUAUCCUACCACUAACUGUGGAGAGGUAGAGGCAACACAUGUUCCGGUUGUUCUCAAAUUCGGAGAGCGUUAUUAGGGUCAGGCCGAGGGCAACCAAAAAGGGCCACGAGCCUAUAUCAUGAGCAACAUCCAAAACCAACAGCGAGAGCGAGGCUGCCUUGAUAGCACCAGGCACAAAAACAUGCCGGGCCAAGAGGAAACGCCGCAAGCGCCAUAUGGCCGCAGUAGCACACCCAAAGGCGUCCACCGCGAGUCAACUUUGUAUGAAGCACCACUGCCCGUAGGUCGGGUAACAUCACGCAAGCACCCGAAAGGCAACUGUAAGAUAUCUCACAAAAAUGAGAAGACACGGCGCCAAUAGUCGGCCGCACAAAGACGGGGGACCUACCAGCAGACACGGGUCCAAAACAGCUCAUGCGCUCGCGUAGCCA
rnacentral:misc_RNA from 1 species